rnacentral:lncRNA from 13 species
CUCCACAGACAUGUUGAAUAGCUUGUCCUCUGGGUGCUCAAUAUUCCCACUGCGGAAGAAAAACCACUCCAGUGGCAAGGGCUGGAAGAAGCGGAAGCGGAAGAGGAAGAAUUCCCCCGCAGUGGGGGUAAAGGCCCAGAAGUCCUCGCGCAGGAAAAUCUAGGCUGUAACCAGCUCCCUGUUACCCUCAAUGAUAUCGUGGUGAAUAUCUUAGUGCAUGAUGCUUCAUGGAUUUACGUGACAACUUUUCUGGCAUUACUCAGAGUGCACUAUAUGACUUUCUACCCUCUGGCUGAUGCCUCUCCUUGGCUAGAGCCUACCAGAAGCCACAGGACAACUGAACCCGCAGAAUUAUGUUCACGUGGAUGACACGCCAGGGGAGCAGGAAAGUAAAAGGAGGCUAGAGUUCAACAGUGUGAUUUUGGCUCACUGCAACCUCUGCCUCCCAGAUUCAAGCGAUUUUCCUGCCUCGGCCUCCUGAGUAGCUGGGACUACAGGUGAGUGCCACCAAGCCUGACUAAUUUUUGUUAGUUGAGAUGGGGUUUCGCCAUAUUGGUCAGGCUGUUGUCAAACUCCUGAUCUUGUGAUUGGCCUG